ACUUCAAGUUUCUUUGAAUUUAAAGGCGAGUUAUGAAGAUUUUGUGAAAAGAAAAUAUAAAAAUAAGAGUUAUGCUAGUAUCCUGCACACCCCUCCUAAUUCCCCUUCUUGAGGUGGCACUAUCUAAUUGGAAUCUUUAGCGUUUGACUAAAAGUAUGUGGGAUCAGCCAAUUCAUGCCACCCAAUGAAUAUAAGCCACAUCAUGAAGGGAAAUUAUUAGGGGACACUUAGGAGGGGAAAAUAGUAUUUUCCAUAAAAUAAUACUUUGUAGUUAUUAAUGUAGAAGCAAUAAUAUCAAUAACUGUGGCAUCAAGUUGACUAACAGAGACCCUUGAAUUAAGGGUUGAUCUAGGAAUACUUGGAGUAGCCAUCCCUCUUGUACUCAACUAGGUUAUACAGAGGAAAAUAGUAUUGCUCUUAAGGCCAAUGUCGAGCGCACCUUGUUGUGAUGUACUACUAUGAUGUGGAUUAACUAGAUUUUUGUGUAGUUUGGCAGUUCCUCUAUACCUAGGGGCAUCAUUUCAAAAUUGGUAACUACAAGGUUACAAAUUCGACUCCCAGUGAGAGCAGCCUAAUGGCCUUCUUGAUUUGAGCUGGUCAACUAUGGGCAACCUAGGCUACUUUAUCUCCUUGAGGUCUUUUGCCGGCUAAGGUCACAAGGCA